rnacentral:rRNA from 1 species
UUCGGUCCCUAUCUGCCGUGGGCGCUGGAGAACUGAGGGGGGCUGCUCCUAGUACGAGAGGACCGGAGUGGACGCAUCACUGGUGUUCGGGUUGUCAUGCCAAUGGCACUGCCCGGUAGCUAAAUGCGGAAGAGAUAAGUGCUGAAAGCAUCUAAGCACGAAACUUGCCCCGAGAUGAGUUCUCCCUGACUCCUUGAGAGUCCUGAAGGAACGUUGAAGACGACGACGUUGAUAGGCCGGGUGUGUAAGCGCAGCGAUGCGUUGAGCUAACCGGUACUAAUGAACCGUGAGGCUUAACCUUACAACGCCGAAGGUGUUU